rnacentral:rRNA from 1 species
CAGCAGCCGCGGUAAAACGGAGGGCGCGAGCGUUACCCGGGUUUACUGGGCGUAAAGGGCGUGUAGGCGGCCUGGGGCGUCCCAUGUGAAAGGCCACGGCUCAACCGUGGAGGAGCGUGGGAUACGCUCAGGCUAGAGGGUGGGAGAGGGUGGUGGAAUUCCCGGAGUAGCGGUGAAAUGCGCAGAUACCGGGAGGAACGCCGAUGGCGAAGGCAGCCACCUGGUCCACUUCUGACGCUGAGGCGCGAAAGCGUGGGGAGCAAACCGGAUUAGAUACCCCCGUAGUCCCUGUCUCUUAUAC